rnacentral:rRNA from 1 species
UAGCAUAUCAAUAAGCGGAGGAAAAGAAACCAACAGGGAUUGCCCUAGUAACGGCGAGUGAAGCGGCAACAGCUCAAAUUUGAAAUCUGGCUUCGGCCCGAGUUGUAAUUUGUAGAGGAAACUUUUGGUGAGGCACCUUCUGAGUCCCUUGGAACAGGGCGCCAUAGAGGGUGAGAGCCCCGUAUAGUCGGAUGCCGAUCCAAUGUAAAGUUCCUUCGACGAGUCGAGUAGUUUGGGAAUGCUGCUCAAAAUGGGAGGUAAAUUUCUUCUAAAGCUAAAUAUAGGCCAGAGACCGAUAGCGCACAAGUAGAGUGAUCGAAAGAUGAAAAGCACUUUGAAAAGAGGGUUAAAUAGCACGUGAAAUUGUUGAAAGGGAAGCGUUUGUGACCAGACUUGCGCCGUUCCGAUCAUCCGGUGUUCUCACCGGUGCACUCGGGGCGGCUCAGGCCAGCAUCGGUUUUGGUGGGGGGAUAAAGGUCCAGGGAACGUAGCUCCUCCGGGAGUGUUAUAGCCCUGGGCGUAAUGCCCUCGCUGGGACCGAGGUUCGCGCAUCUGCAAGGAUGCUGGCGUAAUGGUCAUCAACGACCCGUCUUGAAACACGGACCAAGGAGUCAAGGUUUUGCGCGAGUGUUUGGGUGUAAAACCCGCACGCGUAAUGAAAGUGAACGUAGGUGAGAGCUUCGGCGCAUCAUCGACCGAUCCUGAUGUAUUCGGAUGGAUUUGAGUAAGAGCGUUAAGCCUUGGACCCGAAAGAUGGUGAACUAUGCUUGGAUAGGGUGAAGCCAGAGGAAACUCUGGUGGAGGCUCGCAGCGGUUCUGACGUGCAAAUCGAUCGUCAAAUCUGAGCAUGGGGGCGAAAGACUAAUCGAACCAUCUAGUAGCUGGUACCGCG